rnacentral:rRNA from 1 species
AGGACGAACGCUGGCGGCGUGCUCAUACAUGCAAGUCGAACGAGAAACUAACUUCGGUUAGUGGAAAGUGGCGGACGGGUGAGUAAAAUGUAGAGAAUCUGCCCUAGAGAGGGGGACAACCGUUGGAAACGACAGCUAAUACCCCAUAUGAGCGUAGCUGAAAUGCUAUUCUUGAAAACUCCGGUGCUCUAGGAUGAGUCUGCAUCUGAUUAGCUAGUUGGGGGUGUAAUGGACCACCAAGGCGACGAUCAGUAGCUGGUUUGAGAGGAUGAUCAGCCACAAUGGGACCGAGACACGGCCCAUACUCCUACGGGAGGCAGCAGUAGGGAAUUUUGCGCAAUGGGCGAAAGCCUGACGCAGCAACGCCGCGUGAUCGAGACGCUUUUCGGAGUGUAAAGAUCUGUCACAGGGGACGAAAAAUGACGGUACCCUGAGAGGAAGCACCGGCUAACUCCGUGCCAGCCGCGGC